rnacentral:rRNA from 1 species
UACGGGGGGGGCAAGCGUUGUUCGGAAUUACUGGGCGUAAAGGGCUCGUAGGUGGCCAACUAAGUCAGACGUGAAAUCCCUCAGCUUAACUGGGGAACUGCGUCUGAUACUGGAUGGCUUGAGAUUGGGAGAGGGAUGCGGAAUUCCAGGUGUAGCGGUGAAAUGCGUAGAUAUUGGGAGGAACACCGAUGGCGAAGGCAGCCUCCUGGGCCAGCACUGACGCUCAUGCACGAAAGCGUGGGGAGCAAACAGG